rnacentral:rRNA from 1 species
GAUGAACGCUGGCGGCGUGCUUAACACAUGCAAGUCGAGCGAAGCGCUUAAGAAUGAUUCUUCGGAUGAAUUCUUUUGCGACUGAGCGGCGGACGGGUGAGUAACGCGUGGAUAACCUGUCUCAUACAGGGGGAUAACAGUUAGAAAUGACUGCUAAUACCGCAUAAGCGCACAGUGCCGCAUGGCACCGUGUGAAAAACUCCGGUGGUAUGGGAUGGAUCCGCGUUGGAUUAGGCAGUUGGCGGGGUAACGGCCCACCAAACCGACGAUCCAUAGCCGGCCUGAGAGGGUGGACGGCCACAUUGGGACUGAGACACGGCCCAAACUCCUACGGGAGGCAGCAGUGGGGAAUAUUGCACAAUGGGGGAAACCCUGAUGCAGCGACGCCGCGUGAGUGAAGAAGUAAUUCGUUAUGUAAAGCUCUAUCAGCAGGGAAGAAAAUGACGGUACCUGACUAAGAAGCCCCGGCUAACUACGUGCCAGCCGCCGCUGUAAUAC